rnacentral:lncRNA from 1 species
CAGGAAAUAACAGGAUGCACUGCCAGAGAGUUAAGUCAAAAAGGAAAAUUUUAGUGCAUGUCAACCAUUUAAAACCGCAAUUGCUCGAAUGGAGUUCGGACUGAAAAACAGAUCAGGUUCAGACAUGACCCAAUCCAAAGCCCGAGAGAACUCUGAACCAGAGAGUGAUCCUUACGACAAAAUAAUAUUUUCAUCAUUGAAGCCAGAGCUUAUAUCUUGUGACAAACAGGGUGAAUCAGCCCCUAGCAUGAACUCUCUACCUCAGAAUUAUCAUGAUUAUUCUCUGUGCAGUCGAGGAUCGUUCCAGAGGUAGAUUGGGUUCUCCCUACUUCUUCACAUUCUAAGAUCCCAAAGAGAACUUAAAAGUUAAAAAUUAAUUUAAUAAUAAAUAGAUUUUGCAUGUAUAUAAUAUAAGCAAACAAAACAUUAAGAGAGAAAAAACUGAUCUGAUGUAAUUUAUUUUCAGAUAUCAGUGGAAAACAGAUAAUGGGAAGUAGAAGCAUUAUAUUUAUGAUAAUUAUUUUGAUGAUACAUAAUAUGGAUAACAUGGUUAACAAAUCUACAUUGAAUAAAGGGAUUUGUUUUGUAAACCAGGGAAAUUUUCUUCUCAC